GGGGCUGGCUGCUCGGGGAUAGGCUGGGCAUCGGUCAACGGGUGGCUUCACUUUCCCGUUUCUCUCCCCCAUCCCGGAGAGGGAGGGGGGAGGGUGAGCGAACGGCUGUGUGGUGUUUGGCUGCCAGCCGGGCUAAACCACAACAGAAGUGAAGGAGAGGAGGGAGGAAACAGAAAAAUGGUCAGUUGAGCACGCUGCAGAAUCUGGCUUUAACAUUGCAGCAAAGCCAAGGAGAGACUCACCUCUACAAAAUCAGAAGGUCCAGCUGAUUUCACCAGGCUCCAUAUGGGCCACAUACUUUCAGUCCUGGAAGGAUUCUCUCCCAGACAUGCAGAAAAAGGUGGAAAUCUGAAGUGAGAGCUGCUCAGCUAUGGGCAAGCUCUGGAACGAGUGUAAACCUUCAUAUCACCACAACCUUACUCCUGGGCUGGCAGGGGAGAAAUAGUUUCAGUUCUUGCUUGUUAUUCCUAUUUGUUUCAGAAAUUUUGCACUAACAUGUUUACCUAUCUGCUCAUUUCAAAGUUCCCCACUAUAUGAGAAAAUGAUCAAAUAAUAGUCCUAGAAGAUACAUGGUACCCCUUUACUUUAGUCUAACUGCAUUUUAAAAUUAGAUAUUUUGGUGUAGCUUGGCCUUUGUUUCCAACGUGUCUAUCUAAUGCAUUAAUAACUGCCUAUGGUGAAGCAGCAGCCUCACUAAUGAUGGAACACAUGUAAUAUCAAUUUAACACCAAUAUAAAUUUUUAUAUAUUUCAACAAUUUUUAGGGCUGCUUGUCUCUAUUUAAUCUAUUGGAGCUUACUGUUACAGCAAAUCAUCUGAAUUUGUCUUGUACUGGGGGUGAUAGGUAUCAACCAGAUGCUCAUUCCCUCACCAGACAGUUACUGAAGAAUCUGCACAAAAGUUACAACUUCUCAAAGAGCCAACUUUGCUAUUAAAACUAUGGCAAAGCUUCACUGACCGGACUCACUAUGGGGUGUGAGACCCUGCAAAAGCCACUGUGAUGAUAAAACAUAAAUAUAUAUGUAUACGUAUAUAUAAAGCUUUCAAAAAUUCCAACUAAUAUUGCUUAAUGUGGCUAUCCCAAUUCUCUCACACAAAUGCUAUCAUUCCAUUUCUCAUUAUUUAUAUUCAGUGUGGUUCUUAAGAGAGCAGUGAGCAACAUGCCAUUUUGGAACUGCUGUUACCAAGGGCAUACACAGUUUAAUUAUUAAAACAAAGCUGUUACGUAGCAUGCUCUAAGUGCCACUGCGGCCACUUAGAAACUGAUGUGAUUUGCAUUUCUUUUAAUAAAUUAGGUAUUUAAUUACAUUAUAAAUGUAACCUCUAAUUGAAGUACCUUCUCCCCAUGGGCAUAACUCUGUAAUAAUUUGCACAAGCUACCUAGAAGUGGGUGCAUGCUGCUGCAGAAAUGGAAACCUCACUAAUAAGCACUUAAACAUCAUUCUUGAGGAUUUUUGCAACUUAAUGGACUUUCCCCCAGGAUAUCUCUUUGGAGGAUAUGUUCUGCUGUCUUGUGUUGCCUUUUACUUGUCCUCUACUUGUGGCUAUUUGUUUGUUUGCACUUUUCUCCUUGAUAGCUUUUAUUUUUCAUGCCUGGAUGCCCACUGCUAUCGCCAUAGUAUGUAGAGGUGGAUGCAA